rnacentral:tRNA from 1 species
GGGGGGAUACCGAAGCGGUCAAACGGGGCAGACUGUAAAUCUGUUGGCUCAUGCCUUCGUAGGUUCGAAUCCUGCUCCCCCCACCA